rnacentral:rRNA from 1 species
GACGAACGCUGGCGGCGUGCCUAAUACAUGCAAGUCGAGCGAAGUUUUUCUGGUGCUUGCACUAGAAAAACUUAGCGGCGAACGGGUGAGUAACACGUAAAGAACCUGCCUCAUAGACUGGGACAACUAUUGGAAACGAUAGCUAAUACCGGAUAACAGUAUUUCUCGCAUGAGAGAUAUUUAAAAGUUGGUUAUGCUAACACUAUGAGAUGGCUUUGCGGUGCAUUAGCUAGUUGGUGGGGUAAAGGCCCACCAAGGCGACGAUGCAUAGCCGACCUGAGAGGGUGAUCGGCCACACUGGGACUGAGACACGGCCCAGACUCCUACGGGAGGCAGCAGUAGGGAAUCUUCCGCAAUGGGCGAAAGCCUGACGGAGCAACGCCACGUGAGUGAAGAAGGAUUUCGGUUCGUAAAGCUCUGUUGUUAGGGAAGAAUGGAUAUGUAGUAACUAUACAUGUAAGAGACGGUACCUAACCAGAAAGCCACGGCUAACUACGUG